AACGCACAUUGCGCCCCUUGGUAUUCCGGGGGGCAUGCCUGUUCGAGCGUCAUUAUCACCCCUCAAGCUCAGCUUGGUGUUGGGGCCUGCCCGUCACAGGGCAGCCCUUAAAAGCAGUGGCGGUGCCAUCUGGCUCUACGCGUAGUACUACUCCUCGCGACAGAGACCCGGUGGUGUCCUGCCAGAACCCCCCAUUUUUUUAAUGAUUGACCUCGGAUCAGGUAGGGAUACCCGCUGAACUUAA
rnacentral:misc_RNA from 1 species